AUUGAACGCUGGCGGAAUGCUUUACACAUGCAAGUCGAACGGCAGCACGGACUUCGGUCUGGUGGCGAGUGGCGAACGGGUGAGUAAUACAUCGGAACGUGCCCGGACGUGGGGGAUAACUACUCGAAAGAGUGGCUAAUACCGCAUACGAUCUAAGGAUGAAAGCGGGGGAUCGCAAGACCUCGCGCGUUUGGAGCGGCCGAUGGCAGAUUAGGUAGUUGGUGAGGUAAAGGCUUACCAAGCCCGCGAUCUGUAGCUGGUCUGAGAGGAUGAUCAGCCACACUGGGACUGAGACACGGCCCAGACUCCUACGGGAGGCAGCAGUGGGGAAUUUUGGACAAUGGGCGAAAGCCUGAUCCAGCCAUUCCGCGUGCAGGAUGAAGGCCCUCGGGUUGUAAACUGCUUUUGUACGGAACGAAAAAGCUCUUGCUAAUACCAGGAGUCCAUGACGGUACCGUAAGAAUAAGCACCGGCUAACUACGUG
rnacentral:rRNA from 1 species